AUCUCGAGAAAUAAUUGCUCAUAUCUAUUUGUUUUACAUCAUGACAACUUAUUUCAUCAAUGCUUACUGUUAACCAAAGUUGUUUUCUAUUUAUUUUUUUAUUCAUUUGAUUUAUUUUGCGUAAAUUUACACUGUUAUCACUGGUUUAAAAAAUGUUUACAUUUUAAGAACGUGGAGGUAGUCAAAAUUGACCCCCAAUAUUUCCUUUGUCGUGGACCGACAUCAAAAUUUUAUUGUCUAGUCUAAUGUAUAUAUGAAUGAUCUAUGUUAGGAUAUACAAUGUUUUAUAUGUCGCUCCUUAUUUAAUAUAGUAAAAGCACCCCAGAUUUUUUAUCAUAAUUCUAUCAACAAUUAGCAUGUGCUCUGGCCUACUAUUGCAUAUAUUUGACAUAAAACAAAGGUUUAAUGUUUCUAUACUGUUUGUAUUUUGCUGUCCAUGCAAUCAUCAUAAAAGCUGAAAAGGGGAAGGGAUUAAAACCCCUGUGUAUUUAUUUUGUUUUAUUAUGAUUCCCCUAGCUGGUACCUUAAUUUCCUUCCACUUUACCCAGCAUAAUAUUUACAUGAUAGCGUGAGUCUAACAUGUAAUUUUCAUGAAGGCUUGUGGAAGUGAAUCCCACCACUAUACAGAUGUUUAGCAGUUAGAGGUGGUGCUACUUUGGCUUUUCCAUCGUUCAUUGCAUAAAUUUCAUAAAAUUUACCAGGAUACCGAAAACAAAUCCCCUGUAUUAAAGACAUGAUGGUCAGCCAAAAGAGAGCAUGGAAGCCCAACAGGAACAACCCCUCAACAGCCCAUUUAUAGGGUCUGAAGUGUACCAGUGUACCAGUUUCUCUUUGACCUGUGCCAACUCUGGUAAACCCGCCUUUGACAAGGACACAUGUACUUGUCGCUGUCCGGAGGGUCUGGAUCUCUCUACCGGAUGUCCGACUCAUUUUGAUGGGGGAUCGAAUGAUUUCAACAAAAUGGCCGUCUGACACCUUUACCAGAUUAAGUACCUGGAUACAUGUAACUGGCUGUCCCAGUGGGUUUUUAUGAAGGCAGUUUUACACAUCAUAUUAAAGACACCAGGAUGGACCACACAAGUUCCACAUUUAAUGCUGACAUCAAGCCCACCUCUACAUUUUAAAAAUUUUUUGCUUAGAAGAAAACGGAAGAAAAUAGAAUUUCGCCAAGCUGGCCUGCAGGAAAAUAUUGUAUCUACCGCCAAGGAGGGGUUUGUCCUAUCGGCUUCAGUGGUGGAUAUAUACAGUAUGAUGACACCAUGAAUCCAUAGCAUUCAGAUAUUCUCGGCAUUCUUCAACUUAAAGGAGCUGUUUAUCUUAUUUCCGGACACCUCUGCUUGACAGAAUGCAAAGUUUUGAUGGCAAUGCAGAGUCAAGAUAUUGUGACAAAGACAUGCCAGCUUGAAGAAGACCAUCCAGUGAUCAUGGUGUUCCACUCAAUUUUUCAGAAUUAUGUGUCAGAUUGAAAUUCAUCUUAUGGUGCACAAAACAAUCAGGAUAUUCUUCUGGAUCUAGUCCAAAGUAUUGACAGAACCAAAGAAUACCUGAUAGUCUGCAAAUGGAGUGAUCAUUCUGAUUGGAUGAACCAGACAACACUGAUUAUCUCAAGAAAUUUUAGGCUAGAGACUCCAUCUUCAUUCAUAAAUGAUUGAUGU